rnacentral:rRNA from 1 species
UACGUAGGGUGCAAGCGUUGUCCGGAAUUAUUGGGCGUAAAGAGCUCGUAGGCGGUUUGUCGCGUCUGCUGUGAAAACUCGGGGCUCAACUCCGAGCUUGCAGUGGGUACGGGCAGACUAGAGUGCGGUAGGGGAGACUGGAAUUCCUGGUGUAGCGGUGGAAUGCGCAGAUAUCAGGAAGAACACCGAUGGCGAAGGCAGUUCUCUGGGACGGUACUGACGCUGAGACGCGAAAGCGUGGGGAGCGAACAGG